rnacentral:snRNA from 1 species
ACACUCUGAGCAAUAAGAAAA